AGACCCGAAACCCGGUGAUCUAGCCAUGGGCAGGUUGAAGGUUGGGUAACACUAACUGGAGGACCGAACCGACUAAUGUUGAAAAAUUAGCGGAUGACCUGUGGCUGGGGGUGAAAGGCCAAUCAAACCGGGAGAUAGCUGGUUCUCCCCGAAAGCUAUUUAGGUAGCGCCUCGUGAAUUCAUCUCCGGGGGUAGAGCACUGUUUCGGCUAGGGGGCCAUCCCGGCUUACCAACCCGAUGCAAACUGCGAAUACCGGAGAAUGUUAUCACGGGAGACACACGGCGGGUGCUAACGUCCGUCGUGAAGAGGGAAACAACCCAGACCGCCAGCUAAGGUCCCAAAGUCAUGGUUAAGUGGGAAACGAUGUGGGAAGGCCCAGACAGCCAGGAUGUUGGCUUAGAAGCAGCCAUCAUUUAAAGAAAGCGUAAUAGCUCACUGGUCGAGUCGGCCUGCGCGGAAGAUGUAACGGGGCUAAACCAUGCACCGAAGCUGCGGCAGCGAACGUAUCACUUAAAGCGAUUCAGCGGGUUACGAUUGACGGAGCGAAGCGACGUCAAAGCGUAUACAAAGUCGAGUCGGUUUAAGGAUACGUUCGUUGGGUAGGGGAGCGUUCUGUAAGCCUGCGAAGGUGGCCUGUGAGGGUUGCUGGAGGUAUCAGAAGUGCGAAUGCUGACAUAAGUAACGAUAAAGCGGGUGAAAAGCCCGCUCGCCGGAAGACCAAGGGUUCCUGUCCAACGUUAAUCGGGGCAGGGUGAGUCGACCCCUAAGGCGAGGCCGAAAGGCGUAGUCGAUGGGAAACGGGUUAAUAUUCCCGUACUUGGUGUUACUGCGAAGGGGGGACGGAGAAGGCUAUGUUGGCCGGGCGACGGUUGUCCCGGUUUAAGCGUGUAGGUGUGUGUUCCAGGUAAAUCCGGUUCACUUUAACACUGAGGCGUGACGACGAGGCACUACGGUGCUGAAGCAACAAAUGCCCUGCUUCCAGGAAAAGCCUCUAAGCAUCAGGUAACAUCAAAUCGUACCCCAAACCGACACAGGUGGUCAGGUAGAGAAUACCAAGGCGCUUGAGAGAACUCGGGUGAAGGAACUAGGCAAAAUGGUGCCGUAACUUCGGGAGAAGGCACGCUGACACGUAGGUGAAGUGAUUUACUCACG
rnacentral:rRNA from 1 species